rnacentral:rRNA from 1 species
GACGAACGCUGGCGGCGCGCUUAACACAUGCAAGUCGAACGGAAAGGCCCUGUACUUGUGGCGUGCUGGAGUGGCGAACGGGGGAGUGUAACGUGUGUAAACUGUCCUUGACUUUGGGAGACAUCCAGGAAACUCGGGCUCAUAUAGGACAUGAGCUCCUGCUGCACGGUGGGGAAGGGUAAGUUUCGGCGGUUGGGGAUGGAAUCGUGGCUUAUCAGCUUGUUGGUGGGGUGGUGGGUUACCAAGGCGUUGACGGGUAGCCGGCCUGCGAGGGUGACCGGGCACAUUGGGACUGAGGUACGGGCCAGACUGCUACGGGAGGCAGCGGUGGGAGAUUUUGCAAGAAGGGCGGAAGGCUGAUGCAGCAACGUCGGGUGCGGGAUGACGGCCUGCGGGUUAGAAAGCGCUUGCGCCUGGAACGCAGCGUGAGUGACGGUAAUGGGUAAGAAAGCACCGGCUAACUACGUG